AGGACGAACGCUGGAGGCGUGCUUAACACAUGCAAGUCGAGCGGUGAUCCUCCUUCGGGAGGUGAGCAGCGGCGAACGGGUGAGUAACACGUGGGCAACCUGCCCCUCACACUGGGAUAACCUCGGGAAACCGGGGCUAAUACCGGAUACGACCUCGAGCGGCAUCUCUUGAGGUGGAAAGCUCCGACGGUGAGGGAUGGGCCCGCGGCCUAUCAGCUUGUUGGUGGGGUAAUGGCCUACCAAGGCGACGACGGGUA
rnacentral:rRNA from 1 species